rnacentral:rRNA from 1 species
GAUGAACGCUAGCGGCAGGCCUAAUACAUGCAAGUCGAACGGUGUAGCAAUACACAGUGGCGCACGGGUGCGUAACACGUAUGCAACCUACCUAUCAUUGGGGGAUAGCCUUUGGAAACGGAGAUUAAUACCGCAUAAGACAGUAACAUGGCAUCAUGUAGCUGUUAAAGCUUCGGCGAUGAUAGAUGGGCAUGCGUCCAAUUAGUUAGUUGGUGAGGUAACGGCUCACCAAGACGAUGAUUGGUAGGGGAUCUGAGAGGAUAAUCCCCCACACUGGCACUGAGAUACGGGCCAGACUCCUACGGGAGGCAGCAGUAGGGAAUAUUGGGCAAUGGACGGAAGUCUGACCCAGCCAUGCCGCGUGCAGGAAGAAGGCGUUAUGCGUUGUAAACUGCUUUUUUAUAGGAAGAAGGAGACCUUGCGAGGUUUGGUGACGGUACUAUAAGAAUAAGCACCGGCUAACUCCGUGCCAGCCGCCGCCGUAAAAC